AACAUCGCGCACCUGCGGGAACCUGCGGAGGGAUCAUUAAAAAGAUCGACGUAUAUGGACGAUCAAAAAAAAUCUAUAUCCACCUUGUGUGCACUCACUGACCGUUCGCUUUGGCAGGAGGGAGUCUUGGAUGAUUUUUAUUUUCCAAGCGGGGGGGAGGAAGGGAAAAGACAACAUUCUCUUUCUCCCUCGGCCUGCCAGAGUUUUUAAAAUCAACCCUUUAUUCUUCUUUUUGGACUG
rnacentral:misc_RNA from 1 species